CUGGAGCAGCAUAAGCCCAUUCACUCUCAUUCCUUUGAUAAGUGUGUAAUUUUGUCCCAUUCUUCCUGCAAAUAAGUCUUUAAGGUAGGCAACAGUACAGAGUAUUUGUUGUCGUAUUUUGGGCUUCAAAAUAUGUCACAUUCUCUAUUGGAGACAGGUCGGAACUGCCGGCAGGCCAGUCAGGUACCUGCAUCCUCUUCCUGUGCAAUGGUCACUGUAGCCAAUAACAGUCAUAUCUUUUGAGCUCGUGUACACAAUGGGCAAUUAGCAGUGUUCAAGAAUUCAAUCAUCAGCAUUAAAAUGAACUUACUGCUUC